rnacentral:rRNA from 1 species
AUUGAACGCUGGCGGCAGGCCUAACACAUGCAAGUCGAGCGGAGCGGCGGAGGGGUGAGUGAUGCCUAGGAAUCGGCCUGGUAGUGGGGGAGAAGGUCAGGAAACGGGCGCUAAUACCGCAUACUAUCAGAUGAGCCUAGGUCGGAUUAGCUAGGUGGUGGGGUAAGGGCCUACCAAGGCGACGAACCGUAACUGGUCUGAGAGGAUGAUCAGUCACACUGGAACUGAGACACGGUCCAGACUCCUACGGGAGGAAGCAGUGGGGAAUAUUGGACAAUGGGCGAAAGCCUGAUCCAGCCAUGCCGCGUGUAUGAAGAAGGUCUUCGGAUUGUAAAGCACUUUAAGCUGGGAGGCGUUACCAACAGAAUAAGCACCGGCUAACUUCGUGCCAGCAGCCGCGGUAAUUC